rnacentral:rRNA from 1 species
GACGAACGCUGGCGGCAUGCCUAAUACAUGCAAGUCGAGCGAACAGAUGAAGUGCUUGCACUUCUGACGUUAGCGGCGAACGGGUGAGUAACACGUAAGGAAUCUACCUAUAAGCGGGGGAUAACAUUCGGAAACGGGUGCUAAUACCGCAUAAUAUCUUCUUCCGCAUGGAAGAAGAUUGAAAGACGGCUCUGCUGUCACUUAUAGAUGACCUUGCGGUGCAUUAGUUAGUUGGUGGGGUAACGGCCUACCAAGACGAUGAUGCAUAGCCGACCUGAGAGGGUGAUCGGCCACAUUGGGACUGAGACACGGCCCAAACUCCUACGGGAGGCAGCAGUAGGGAAUCUUCCGCAAUGGGCGAAAGCCUGACGGAGCAAUGCCGCGUGAGUGAAGAAGGCCUUCGGGUCGUAAAACUCUGUUAUAAGAGAAGAACAAAUUGUAGAGUAACUGCUACAGUCUUGACGGUAUCUUAUCAGAAAGCCACGGCUAACUACGUGCCAGCCGCCGCAGUAA